CUUCUCUACUGGUAUCUAAUUGAUAAAAUCAAUCAAACAAGUAUGUCAUAACAUGCUGGUGUUAUUUUCUGCUACAUCUUUGUUUGUAGAAAAACUUAUAGAAAAUAAGUUUCUCAACAAACACCGAGAGCCAUUUUUUUGGGAAAUGGGUGGCAAUAGGAAUGCAUUGCAUACUAAUCAAGAAGCGGCACGAGUUAGUGCUAGAAGAGAUCUUAAGGUGUCAUUUGAUGCGUCAGACGACUGGAAGGAGGCAUGGCUAUAAGAAUUCCUUGUCUAAUGGUAGAACCAGAAAUAAAAAGUAUAUGGGUCAGAUUUGAUAGGGACAAACAAACAUAAUCCAUAGUUUU
rnacentral:lncRNA from 1 species